AUGGAGGGCCAGGCGCCGCAGUCGCACCAGCUGCUGCUGCACGGCGUCAGACUCGAACUCCGCCUCAACCCCACCACGCAACAGCGAGACGGCCGGCUCCCGGCGUCCCCCUCUGCGGCUGCAGUCGCCGCGGAGCACCAGCGCGGCGGCGGGCGGGAGACCUUCUCCUGCAACUACUGCCACCGCAAGUUCUUGAGCUCGCAGGCGCUCGGCGGCCACCAGAACGCCCACAAGCUCGAGCGCACCCUCGCCAGGCGCAGCCGCUACGCCGACGCCACGCCUUCCUCCCCGGCCGUCGCCCACCGCUGGCUGCACGGCGGCGGGGAGCUCUGGGGCUACGCUACUUCACCCGCGGCGAGCAUGGGCGGCUGGGCUGGCACUCGCAGCACCAAGACGGCCGGCGGGGAGGCCACGGCGGAGAAUGAGAUAGACUUGUCGCUCAAGCUCUGA
rnacentral:rRNA from 1 species